rnacentral:rRNA from 1 species
UACGGAGGGGGCUAGCGUUGUUCGGAAUUACUGGGCGUAAAGCGCACGUAGGCGGCUUUGCAAGUCAGAGGUGAAAGCCCGGGGCUCAACCCCGGAAUUGCCUUUGAGACUGCAUCGCUAGAAUUGUGGAGAGGUAAGUGGAAUUCCGAGUGUAGAGGUGAAAUUCGUAGAUAUUCGGAAGAACACCAGUGGCGAAGGCGGCUUCCUGGUCUGCAACUGACGCUGUGGCGCGAAAGCUAGGGGAGCAAACGGG